GAGGCCUACCAUGGUGGUAACGGGUAACGGGGUGUUAGGGCACGACACCGGAGAGGGAGCCUGAGAAACGGCUACCACAUCCAAGGAUGGCAGCAGGCGCGCAAAUUACCCAAUCCCGACACGGGGAGGUAGUGACAAUAAAUAACAAUACGGGGUUCUUUAGGAUCUCGUAAUUGGAAUGAGUACAAUUUAAAUCUCUUAACGAGGAACAAUUGGAGGGCAAGUCUGGUGCCAGCAGCCGCGGUAAUUCCAGCUCCAAUAGCGUAUAUUAAAGUUGUUGCAGUUAAAAAGCUCGUAGUUGAAUUUCGGGGUUAGUAGGUUGGUCAUGCCUCUGGUAUGUACUGGUCUCACUGAUUCCUCCUUCCUUAUGAACCGUAAUGCCAUUAAUUUGGUGUUGCGGGGAAUUUGGACUGUUACUUUGAAAAAAUUAGAGUGUUUAAAGCAAGCUAACGCUUGAAUACAUUAGCAUGGAAUAAUGAAAUAGGACGUUCGAUCUUAUUUUGUUGGUUUCUAGGAUUGACGUAAUGAUUAAUAGGGAUAGUUGGGGGCAUUAGUAUUCAAUUGUCAGAGGUGAAAUUCUUGGAUUUAUUGAAGACUAACUACUGCGAAAGCAUUUGCCAAGGAUGUUUUCAUUAAUCAAGAACGAAAGUUAGGGGAUCGAAGACGAUCAGAUACCGUCGUAGUCUUAACCAUAAACUAUGCCGACUAGGGAUCGG
rnacentral:rRNA from 1 species